AUUAAUAUAUAUAUAUAUAUAUAAGUAUAUAAGUAUUAUAGUAUAUUUAAUUUCCAAUUAAAAGGAGAAUGAAUUAU
rnacentral:tRNA from 1 species